UCCGCAAGGUACGCCUGGGAAUCAACAGGCCGGGCGCUCUCCUCUACCGCCUCCUGCCCCCCUAGAUUUGGGUGGGGGGCCUUUGGCACAGACAUCUGGACUGACAUCUGGACCAGACACAACUUGAGAAAUACAGAGGUCAGGCUUCUCCUGAGCUGGACCAGCUGGGACAGACACCCGGCCCGUCUCUCAAACCUCACCACAGACUAUGCCAUGCAGCCCCUAUCGCUCUUUCCUCUGAGCUCCUCACACAGCUCCAGGAGAGACUGGUACGUCUGUCCCUUGCAGGGACACCUGACCAGGAUGCAGGUGUUGUCCGUGCUGCUGUGCUGAUCGACACCCCCGCUAUUUUCUUCCCGACAAACACUCCAGUUGCAUUGACAGAGAGGAAGAUGCCCAGCCUGAGCCAAGAGCAAGAAACCGCCGAUCUCCCUGUGCUAAUGCCAGCUCCAAGGUCGACUCUCUUGGCCCACUUGUAUCAUCUGCCCAUGCCACAGCUUCCCCAUCAUUAGGGUGGGCAUUAAGGAAACCUGCCAGCCACACAGGGGGAUUACUGCGUUUCACUGUAAGGUGAAAACAAGUCCAUAUGGUUAAUCUAACUUGAGACCCCAGCUGCUACAACUGCUCUCUCACAAUCCUAUUUCUACUGGGUGACAACGCCAUGUGGUCCAGUUAAGGGUGCCCACGUGUUUGGAUUUCUUUUCAACAGGACACAAAUGUCCUUGUUGGUUUGAGGAAUAAUUCCAGCAUCUUUGUACAGCUACUUACCCAUACGUUACUGAAGCACCCUCAGCCUCAACUGAACGUUACCCCAAUUACUUUUGUCUUGGCGCUUCAGAGAUGGGUGCGCAUCGAAUACAGCGCUUUGGUUCACGUAUUCAUUCAGCAGUUGCUUCAGUGCAACACAGAGCCAACGACAAGACCAAACCAAAAUCACACUGUGUUAUGGCCUUCUAAGAGGUCCCAACCCUGCUUUAAGCUCCACGGUGCUCGGCACAGCCAUGAGAGAUCGUUUCUAUCUUCAGAAAGUCACGGUCUAAAUUAAAACUCCGCCACCUCGUUUCACAGAGGUCCUUGAGAGUCCUCUGCCCGCUUUCCUGCCCAUUCAGUACUGGAACGCGCCCAAAUGCCACAAUUCACUGAGCUGGAGCGAAGAGCACCGCUGGGCCAGGUUUUCUCUGGAUGAAAUCAGAGUUCAUCUCAGCCAGGCUCUGAAUAGCUCGCUAACUGGCAAACCUGCCCUGAACUAAUGAUUUAGAACAAUAUUCACACCGCUUUUUUCAUGACCUACAUUUUUUGUAGCAUCUUAGACAAAACAGCUGUAGGGCUGAAUUCAGAGGGGAGGCUGAGCUCCUGCCAACAAAUCAUGGUGGCAAGCUUCAGACCUGUGUGGGGCAGCAUCCCGCCUUUGAUUUGGGCCUGCUGCAUCAUGUUGGGGCUGGGCGAGAGGAGUGUAGCAGUAAAAGCAGCAACGCAUAUAUACCUAAGAAGAUAAGGGCUCUUAAUUUUGAUUCUCACCUUCAGCAGACAAGGUCCUUCGGGUGAAUAGGAUAUCUUUUAUUCAGCCAACUACGUUUAGUUGGUCUAAUAAAAUAUAUCACAUUUACCCAAAGAACCUUGUCUGCCCGUGUCCUUAGACCAACCGGGCUACAACCAACACCCCCAAACUCCCAGCUUCCCCAUUCCCGGCCUGUAAAGUAUGACAAUGUAUGGCUUGUUUUCUCUGCGGCACUAGCUCACACUGCACCUUGAGUGUAAGCUGCUCCCUACUCCCAUCUACAUGUGGUCUCCGGCUUGAGAUCCGGACUCAAGUGAGCUGGCCCACCAGGGUCUGAAGCUGGAGUGUGGCUGUUGCUCGCACCAGUAAUGCAGAGGGGUACAGAUGCAGGAUACAGCUCAAGUUAGGGCAACUCAGCACAACUGCUGCUCCACUUGCACCGUGCAGCUAGAGUGGUUUUUUGCAGUGUGGCCACUUUGACUCAAGUGAGGCACGGGGUCAUUUUUAAGAGCCAGAACUGGACAUCGUGUCUCCUCUGGAAGGGGGUGCCACGGCGGUCCUUUGGCCUAUGCUGGGACAUUGUUUCAAUGCUGACGUAGAAGGAAAAGUGCCACGCGCUACAUGAAUGUCACUUGCUGCAGCCCCAGAGUUUUCCCUGGUCUCCCAGCCACGUUCUGACCCCGCUCAACCCUGUCCAGCCCCUGAGACUCCAUGGGUUGGGAUGGGAUUGAAAGCACAGAACAGCAUGGCUGCAAAGAGCAUCUGAACUGGGAAAUGAAAUUAAUCUGCAAAAUAUUGCAGUGCCAUUUUGGUACAUUUUAGCUGAUUUAUUCUCUCCUCGUUAAGAGGAGCUAAUUAACAAACCAUCAUUUAAAUAAACAGCAGUGAGUGUGUUUGUAACCUCCGCUUUAUUGAAUUGUGACAAAUUAUUAGCCUUUGCAUGUUAAAUGAAAUAGAAGCAUCCAGGAAAAACCUUAAAUCCAAUCUGCAUAGAGAUGAUACCUGCUGUGAAAAUGAAGUCAGCAGGACUGAUUCACUAUCAUGCUCGGAGCAUCUUCUGGGGCUCCCCUCUCUGCAGAUUGCAUAACCUCCUGUCACAGCCCAGGCACUGACGUGUUAGCAAGUGAAUGGCUGCAGCCACCAGGGUCCUUUCAGGACACCCGUGUCUGAACUCCAUUGCAGCCCACGAGACCCUCAGGCAUUUGCCUGACAGUUGUGUGGCAGGCUAUGCAAAAUACUGAUGGUUAGGGGGAUUCACUUCCCUGUAGAGGGCCUGGGAACCAUUUACAUCCUUAGAUUAGUAUUAUGUGGGGCCAAAUGUUUAAAGCUAUAUAAGUGCCUACAGGGAGGCAGCUAAUGGACAUUCAAAGGUACCAAGAUGUCUAAGGUGCAAAUCUGCCCUGCCUUCUAAUUGUGAGACACCUGAAAGUCCCACAGAGCCUCAAGCUGCCUCUUUAGGGGCCUAUAGCCAUUUAAUAACCUGCCCCACGGGGCUCACGUGGCACUUAGGCCCUCUGUACAAGAGCAGAUUUCACCUGGGUGCGUUUCUCCUUUUUUCCGCCUGUGAACAAUUUGCCGAGUUCUCAGAUUUAUUAAUUAUUCAAAGUAAUUUGCAAAUAUCUCCAGCGGGAGUGUCUUGGGCCUUCAGAUCAUUCAUGAAAGGCUCCUUCUGAAUAUUCAGCAUUCCAGACGCCUUGGUCUGUCUCGUGAAUUGGGUGGCGCCGUUUCCUUCCCCGGAUCGAGCGGCUCGGGCAAUUAACAAACAGCAGCGCCGCCACUGACCUGCAGCGUGGCAAGCACACCCGUCGCAAACGUCCACUGUUACACAACCGGAACGCUCCCGUGGGGGAAAUAUUCAGAUGUAGAAUUUGCUUUUCAUGAUAAUUGUACCAGUUCUCCCAGCUGCUACGAUAGCUAUGAACAAAAAAACAGGCACCAGCACAGGUGCAGGCCAAUUCUUAACAAUCCAACCCAAUAUUCACGCAUUCAGCCCCUCUCUGCCUGGUCGCCCAUUUGGUCUGUUCAGUUCUUUAAGGCAGGAUCUGUGUUUAUGCAGUGCCUCGUUGCAACGGGCCCCGAUCUCAGGUGAUCUUUAAGAUGCUGCCAUAGCAAAUGCGAUGGCUGCUGUUAUAAGCAUCACAUGGCACUCUGUGCAGCAUCCCCCCAGCUCUAGAAAUGAUCCCAGCAGGGCUCUGCACAUUGUGCAUCCGCGCCAGGGAAGCCCUUGGCCCAGGUGGCACCUGUUGGCAGCCUGAGGAGAAAGGGCUGUGAAGACUGAGCUCUCCCCGAAGCAACACCACCAUGUUCGGGCUGAGGCAGUUUCAUCUCAGCUGGUGCUGCGGGAAGCCCACUCGGCAGCUGCUCAUGCCUUUCUGGGAGAGAAAGCAAGGACUCCUUGGCAUGAAAAUCAUGCCUACAAAUUUGGGCAUGAGGAAACCCACAUGCACAGGAAGGACAAGCCGGGCAUGGUCAGGGCAGCUGACUGGCAGGUUCGGAACAGGGGCUGCCCCGUGGGCUGCUCCGGCCGGCCUCUUGACAGACGACCACCAAGAGGAAGAGGCAGCAAGCACUGAGCCGACUGCAAUCCAUAGUUACGAGAACCGCUUAGUAGCAGUCAUAAUCAUCUCUUGUCAUGGAUCCUUGGCAAUAUAAUGAUAAUAAUCAUAUCAUGCACGUCUGUGGCAGUGUCUGUCACCCUGAAUGCAGCCCCAAGUGCUUCUACAAGCAUCACUCACACAUGCACAGGAAAGGGAAGGGCUGCAUUCUGCUGGUCCAAGUGCUCAGAGGGUGCUGGCGGUGCUGGGAAGUGGGUGUGAUGGGGGACAGGGCAGCAACAUCCCCCCUUCACUAACGAACCAUGGGCGGUAGCAUGGAGGGAGCUGGUGCAGCCCAGGAAGGGGCACACUGCAUUUAUUCGGCACAUGUCAUUGGCGGGGCUCCUGUCCCUCCAGGCAGGUCCCACAAGACACCAGCCUAAACACACCCACAAAGGCAGAGGAGCCCAUGGGGCAGGGACGUACAACUUGCUAACCACCUAUACAACCAGAAGCCAGCAAACAGCCAGCUUUUGCCACAGGGCCCUGGUGGGUAACCACAGACAUCUCUCUGAGUGUCGGUGACACACUUGGUGCUGCACAAGACACGAACAAGGACAAGUCUGCUGCAGCGAUGAGAGCAGGAUGGACAGACAGAGACAGGAGGUGGUAUCCUAGAUACCACAGAGCAGGAAUGGUGUGAACGUGCUGACUUUUCUACGGUGAUUGACAGCUACUGAGCUGUGAUCUCUGGACGCUGCCAUGUCUUCCUCCUCUCCUCAUCUCCAUGGCUAUUGGGCAGUAAAAAGGCAACCUCUGACUUCGCUCAAGUGGCAAAGGUAUAUUUCUGCUGCUGUGCAGCUGCUGCGGAGUCUGAGAUCCAGAGAAGAGCGAUCUCUCCCGUGGCAGCAAGCUGAGGCUAACUCACAUACCUAUUCCCUGCAGCCUCCUAGUUCACUUCCGUCCUUGGGGUGCAAGUGCAGCAGGAGUCACUGAUGGUCCACAGGGAGCAAUGAGAACAGCCAAGUGCUACCGGGGACGGAGCAGGAGAUCUUCUAGGUGCUGCCAAAAGAUGCCUCAAUGCACCUGCUUCUCCUUUUCAAAGGAUCUCAAAAAAAAAACAACCAAGCCACCACUGGUCAAGCAUGAAAAGCCAGCCAGACCAGGAGCCUGGUCAGCUAUGAGUAGGAUGG